UCUUUCAACAAAUAUUUCUUGAUAUUACUAUAUGCCAGAUACUACAUCAGAUAACUGGAAUAUAAUAUGGAAUAAAGUAGUCUAAGUCUCUGCUCUCAUAGAGUAUCUGGGUUAAGGGGAAAGAUUUGGGGAGACAAUAAAUAUAAAGAAUGUGCAUUAUAUCAGAUGGAUAAAUGCACUGAAGGAAAAUAUAGCAGGAUAAGAGAGUAGAGUGAUGAAAGAAGUUCAAUUUUAGGUAUUUAAGAAAAAUGAGACCAUGGCAGUUGGAGGAACGGCAGUGAUCACACGUCGGCUGCUGGGAAGAUCUGAAUUCUUGUGUCAGGUCAUCAUCAGAAAAGCUAAGUUUGCUGUAUAGUGAGGAUCAAGAGAUCUGAUCCUGAUUGCAGAACCUUCCCUGAUUAAAGAAUCUUGGGUUGUAUCUCCCACUUCACCCUUCUAGACCAUCCCAGAAGAUCUGUAAGAUUUCAUCUGGGAAAUCACUAGGAGUUCUUGGAAGGGAAAGAAGGAAGAUUGUUGGUUGGAAUAAAAACAAGGUUGAAUGAGUUCCAGAAAGUAGGAUUCUCAACCUCGUGGACAGCAAUCUGCAGAAGAAGAGAACUUCAAAAAACAAACUAGAAGCAACAUGCAGAGAAGUAAGAUGAGAGGGGUCUCCUCGGGAAAGAAGACCGCUGGUCCACAGCAGAAAAAUCUUGAACCAGCUCUCUCAGGAAGAUGAGGGGGUCGCUCUGUAGAGAACCCCCUUCAGGAUCCGUGAGGAAGACCAGAAAGAACAAACAGAAGACUCCUGGAAACAGAGAUGGUAGCAGUACCAGCGAAGCACCUCAGCCCCCUCGGAAGAAAAGGGCCCGGGCAGACCCCACUGUUGAAAGUGAGGAGGCGUUUAAGAAUAGAAUGGAGGUUAAAGUGAAGAUUCCUGAAGAAUUAAAACCAUGGCUUGUUGAGGACUGGGACUUAGUAACCAGACAGAAGCAGCUGUUUCAACUCCCUGCUAAGAAAAAUGUAGAUGCAAUUCUGGAGGAGUAUGCAAAUUGCAAGUCACAGGGAAAUGUUGAUAAUAAGGAAUAUGCAGUUAAUGAUGUUGUGGCAGGAAUAAAAGAAUAUUUCAAUGUGAUGUUGGGCACUCAGCUGCUCUACAAAUUUGAGAGGCCCCAGUAUCCUGAAAUCCUCUUGGCUCACCCUGAUGCUCCAAUGUCUCAGGUUUAUGGAGCACCACACCUACUGAGAUUAUUUGUAAGAAUUGGAGCAAUGUUGGCCUAUACGCCCCUUGAUGAGAAAAGCCUUGCAUUAUUGUUGGGCUAUUUGCAUGACUUCCCAAAAUAUCUGGCAAAGAAUUCUGCAUCUCUCUUUACUGCCAGUGAUUACAAAGUGGCUUCUGCUGAGUACCACCGCAAAGCCCUGUGAGCGUCUACAGACAGCUCACCAGUUUUGUCCUGUAUCUGUAAACACUUUUUGUUCUUAGUCUUUUUCUUGUAAAAUUGAUGUUCUUUAAAAUCGUUAAUGUAUAACAGCGCUUAUGUUUCAGUUUUUUUCUGUUCUGUUUUAAACCGAAAAUAAAAGGAGCAUAAGCUCCUUUUCUCAUUUCAAAGUUGCUACCAGUGUAUGCAGUAAUUAGAACAAAGAAGAAACAGUAGAACAUUUUAUUGCCUAGUUGACAACAUUGCUUGAAUGCUAGUGGUUCCUAUCCCUUUGACACUACACAAUUUUCUAAUAUGUGUUAAUGCUAUGUGACAAAACGCCCUGAUUCCUAGUGCCAAAGGUUCAACUUAAUGUAUAUACCUGAAAACCCAUGCAUUUGUGCUCUUUUUUUUUUAUGGUGCUUGAAGUAAAACAGCCCAUCCUCUGCAAGUCCAUCUAUGUUGUUCUUAAGCAUUCUAUCUUUGCUCAGAUUGUUGAAGGAUGGUGAUUUGUUUCAUGGUUUUUGUAUUUGAGUCUAAUGCACGUUCUAACAUGAUAGAGGCAAUACAUUAUAGUGUAGCCACGGUUUUCUGGAAAAGUUGAUAUUUUAGAAAUUGUAUUUCAGAUCUUAAAUAAAAUUUGUUUCUAAAUUUCAAAAAAAAAAAGAAAAAUGAAAAUA